GGGGGUGACAUGGCUUCGACGUGGGUCGCGAAACUCCGAGUGCAUGCCGAGGGACAGAGUACCUCGUAAAUCCAACUGUAAAACUUAUAGUUGCCAACGACGACAACUACGCACUAGCUGCUUAAAAACCAGUAAAUGCCUUCUGCCCGGAUCGUGCCUGUGCGUCCGGAUCGCAGGAGUCACCGACACAGGACCGCGGCA
rnacentral:tmRNA from 1 species